CCUGUCGCUAAAGGACUGUAGGUGUGGCUGCUGUGUCACGCGCGACAGUAGGCUGCAGGGAGGAGGGAGGUUAUGUCUGUGCUCGGGAUUUUGACCUGUGAACGUCUGAGUAGUCUAACAUU
rnacentral:snoRNA from 1 species